rnacentral:tRNA from 1 species
GGGCGCGUGGUGAAAUUGGCAGACACGCAGGAUUUAGGUUCCUGUGCCGCAAGGCGUGUGGGUUCAAAUCCCACCGCGCCCACCA